rnacentral:rRNA from 1 species
AGAGUUUGAUCCUGGCUCAGAUUGAACGCUGGCGGCAUGCCUUACACAUGCAAGUCGAACGCGAAAGCGGGGCAACCCGCAAGUAGAGUGGCGAACGGGUGAGUAAUACAUCGGAACAUGUCCAGUAGCGGGGGAUAACCUGUCGAAAGAUAGGCUAAUACCGCAUACGAUCUACGGAUGAAAGCAGGGGACCGCAAGGCCUUGCACUAUUGGAGUGGCCGAUGUCGGAUUAGCUAGUUGGUGAGGUAAAGGCUUACCAAGGCGACGAUCCGUAGCUGGUCUGAGAGGACGAUCAGCCACACUGGAACUGAGACACGGUCCAGACUCCUACGGGAGGCAGCAGUGGGGAAUUUUGGACAAUGGGCGCAAGCCUGAUCCAGCCAUGCCGCGUGAGUGAAGAAGGCCUUCGGGUUGUAAAGCUCUUUCGGCGGGGACGAAACGGUUCGCACCAAUACUGCGGACUAAUGACGGUACCCGCAUAAGAAGCACCGGCUAACUACGUGCCAGCAGCCGCGGUAAUACGUAGGGUGCAGGCGUUAAUCGGAAUUACUGGGCGUAAAGCGUGCGCAGGCGGUCUGUUAAGACAGGUGUGAAAUCCCCGAGCUCAACUUGGGAAUUGCGCUUGUAACUGGCAGGCUAGAGUGUGGCAGAGGGGGGUGGAAUUCCAGGUGUAGCAGUGAAAUGCGUAGAUAUCUGGAGGAACACCGAUGGCGAAGGCAGCCCCCUGGGUUAACACUGACGCUCAGGCACGAAAGCGUGGGGAGCAAACAGGAUUAGAUACCCUGGUAGUCCACGCCCUA